rnacentral:rRNA from 1 species
UACGUAGGCAGCGAGCGUUGUUCGGAGUUACUGGGCGUAAAGGGUGUGUAGGCGGUUGUUUAAGUUUGGUGUGAAAUCUCCCGGCUCAACUGGGAGGGUGCGCCGAAUACUGAAUGACUAGAGUGCGGGAGAGGAAAGUGGAAUUCCUGGUGUAGCGGUGAAAUGCGUAGAUAUCAGGAGGAACACCGGUGGUGUAGACGGCUUUCUGGACCGUAGCUGACGCUGAGACACGAAAGCGUGGGUAGCAAACAGG